rnacentral:rRNA from 1 species
UAAUACAGAGGGUGCAAACGUUGUUCGGAAUUACUGGGCAUAAAGCGCACGUAGGCGGUUUGGUAAGUGUGAGGUGAAAUCCCACGGCUCACCCGUGGAAUAGCUUUGCAUACUGCCAGACUCGAGGAAGGUAGGGGAGAGCAGAACUCUUGGAGGAGCGGUGAAAUGCGUAGAUAUCAAGAGGAAUACCAGUGGCGAAGGCGGCUCUCUGGUCCUUUUCUGACGCUGAGGUGCGAAAGCUAGGGUAGCGAACGGGAUUAGAUACCCCGGUAGUCCUAGCCGUAAACGAUGGAUACUAACUAGAGGCCCUCCUGAAGGGUCUCUGGUGAAGCAAAUGUAUUAAGUAUCCCGCCUGGGGAGUAUGGUCGCAAGGCUA